CCUACGGGUGGCUGCAGUGGGGAAUAUUGGACAAUGGGGGGAACCCUGAUCCAGCCAUGCCGCGUGUGUGAAGAAGGCCCUCGGGUUGUAAAGCACUUUCAGUGAGGAAGAACGCCUGGUGGUUAAUACCCAUCAGGAAAGACAUCACUCACAGAAGAAGCACCGGCUAACUCCGUGCCAGCAGCCGCGGUAAUACGGAGGGUGCGAGCGUUAAUCGGAAUUACUGGGCGUAAAGCGCGCGUAGGUGGCUUGAUAAGCCGGUUGUGAAAGCCCCGGGCUCAACCUGGGAACGGCAUCCGGAACUGUCAAGCUAGAGUGCAGGAGAGGAAGGUAGAAUUCCCGGUGUAGCGGUGAAAUGCGAAGAGAUCGGGAGGAAUACCAGUGGCGAAGGCGGCCUUCUGGACUGACACUGACACUGAGGUGCGAAAGCGUGGGUAGCAAACAGGAUUAGAUACCCCAGUAGUC
rnacentral:rRNA from 1 species